rfam:Hordeum vulgare subsp. vulgare, WGS project CAJW01000000 data, contig: morex_contig_177362
AUGGAAGUGAGUAUCCAUUCCCCAGCUUAUCGACUAUGCUUAUACUGUGCGCAAAUGUAAUCAUUUAUCAGAGUAUUCCAAGCCAGAAAUCUGAUCCAU